rnacentral:misc_RNA from 1 species
GAUGAAGAACGUAGCGAAAUGCGAUACUUGGUGUGAAUUGCAGAAUCCCGUGAACCAUCGAGUCUUUGAACGCAAGUUGCGCCUCAAGCCAUUAGGUUGAGGGCACGUCUGCCUGGGCGUCACAUAUCGUUGCCUGAUGCCAGUUUCCUCGUGAUGGGUGACUGUGCAGGGCGAAUGAUGGCUUCCCGUGAGCAUUGUUGCCUCAUGGUUGGUUGAAAAUUGAGUCCUUGGUAGGGAGCGCCGUGAUAGAUGGUGGUUGAGUGACGAACGAGACCCAAUCAUGUGAGACCCCUACCGAAUUUGGCCUUAAUGACCCACAUGCGUCUUUGGAACGCUCAUGACGAGACCUCAGGUCAGGCGGGGCUACCCGCUGAGUUUAAGCAUAUCAAUAAGCGGAGGA